UACGUAGGUGGCAAGCGUUGUCCGGAAUUAUUGGGCGUAAAGCGCGCGCAGGCGGUUUCUUAAGUCUGAUGUGAAAGCCCACGGCUCAACCGUGGAGGGUCAUUGGAAACUGGGAAACUUGAGUGCAGAAGAGAAGAGCGGAAUUCCACGUGUAGUGGUGAAAUGCGUAGAGAUGUGGGGGAACACCAGUGGCGAAGGCGGCUCUUUGGUCUGUAACUGACGCUGAGGCGCGAAAGCGUGGGGAGCGAACAGG
rnacentral:rRNA from 1 species